rnacentral:rRNA from 1 species
ACGCUCGACACCUACGUGAGGCAGCAGUGGGGAAUAUUGCACAAUGGGGGAAACCCUGAUGCAGCGACGCCGCGUGAAGGAAGAAGUAUCUCGGUAUGUAAACUUCUAUCAGCAGGGAAGAAAGUGACGGUACCUGACUAAGAAGCCCCGGCUAACUACGUGCCAGUAGCCGCGGUAAUCUGAGCGGGCUGGCAAGGC